rnacentral:rRNA from 1 species
AAUGAACGUUGGCGGCGUGGAUUAGGCAUGCAAGUCGAGCGUGUACCCCGCAAGGGGGAAAGCGGCGUAAGGGAGAGUAAUACGUAGAUACGUGCCUCCGGGUCUGGGAUAGCCACGGGAAACUGUGGGUAAUACCGGAUAAUGUCUGAGGACCAAAGGUGUGAUUCCACCUGGAGAUCGGUCUGCGUCCUAUCAUGCUUGUUGGUGAGGUAACGGCUCACCAAGGCUACGACGGGUACGGGGAGUGAGAGCUUGCCCCCGCUCACUGGGACUGAGACACUGCCCAGGCACCUGCGGGUGGCUGCAGGCGAGGAUCUUCGGCAAUGGGCGCAAGCCUGACCGAGCGACGCCGCGUGCGGGAUGAAGGCCUUCGGGUUGUAAACCGCUGUCAGUGGGGAGGAAGGCUCCGUGAAGAACGGGGUUUGACCUAUCCGCAGAGGAAGUGUGGGCUAAGUUCGUGCCAGCCGCCGCAGUAA